rnacentral:rRNA from 1 species
GAUGAACGCUGGCGGCGUGCCUAAUACAUGCCAGUCGAGCGAACAGACGAGGAGCUUGCUCCUCUGACGUUAGCGGCGGACGGGUGAGUAACACGUGGAUAACCUACCUAUAAGACUGGGAUAACUUCGGGAAACCGGAGCUAAUACCGGAUAAUAUAUUGAACCGCAUGGUUCAAUAGUGAAAGACGGUUUUGCUGUCACUUAUAGAUGGAUCCGCGCCGCAUUAGCUAGUUGGUAAGGUAACGGCUUACCAAGGCAACGAUGCGUAGCCGACCAGAGAGGGUGAUCGGCCACACUGGAACUGAGACACGGUCCAGACUCCUACGGGAGGCAGCAGUAGGGAAUCUUCAGCAAUGGGCGAAAGCUUGACGGAGCAACGCCGCGUGAGUGAUGAAGGUCUUCGGAUCGUAAAACUCUGUUAUUAGGGAAGAACAAAUGUGUAAGUAACUAUGCACGUCUUGACGGUACCUAAUCAGAAAGCCACGGCUAACUACGUG